CCAAUAUUUAUUCGCGUCCGGGGAAAUUGUUGACUUUAGAUUUUUUCACAGUCCAAUUUAAAUACAUUGAAUGACUUUUUUGUUGCCCUCUUAUAAAAACAUAAAUAAAGCUUGUUCAAAAAAUAAUAAUAUUCAAACAUUUGUGUGCUCUUUGUGCGUUUUUGUGGAAUGUGUUGUAUAUUUGUUCUUAAAAAAAUGGCAUAACAUAAUAUAUAGCAGUUUCAUAACCUUUCCACGCUGCCAUCUCUGGUUAUAGAUCGCCAGCAUUUUCGUGGGGAAACUUGGUGGUGCUGCCUCAGCUUCUUUGGAAGAUUGUAGAUUUGCUUGGCAACAUCGGAUAGCUGAACAUCAAUGGCCUUGGUGUCGUCAUAUAGCGACGGAGCCUCUCCAAGGAUCACAAAGGUACCCACCAGGGAAGCGAUCAUGAAGAGCCAGAGGAACAGGCGAUCCAUGACCAUGGCCACGAAGCCCCAAUCUUGAUCUUCCUGUUGAGAUAUAGAACCCAAAUGGUUUUAGUAAAAUAUCAUAUACAUAUCCCUAAGGAAAUAAGUUUUUUUUUACAGUUCUACAUAUUAAACUGAAAAAAGUUUAUUUAUUUACUGAACAGCAAAUAUUAAAAAGGAACAGGGCAAUCUAAAAUAAAUAAAGAGGAUAGUAUUCUAAAUUAAUUGGUCAAUUCUGCACGCUUUAUAACUUAGUAUAUGGAAACAUUAAACAAUAAUGCAUGAAUAAAAUUAAAUGA